rnacentral:rRNA from 1 species
GACGAACGCUGGCGGCGUGCCUAAUACAUGCAAGUCGAACGCUUCCUACCGGUGCUUGCACCGGGACAGAAGAGUGGCGGACGGGUGAGUAACACGUGGGUAACCUACCUACAAGCGGGGGAUAACAUUCGGACACGGAUGCUCAUACCGCAUAGAUCUUUUUGUCUCCUGUCAGAAAGAAGAAAGACGGUUUCUGCUGUCACUUGUAGAUGGACCCGGGGCGAAUUAGUUAGUUGGUGAGGUAAUGGUUAACCAAGACGAUGAGGCGUAGCCGACCUGAGAGGGUGAGCGGCCACACGGGGACUGAUACACCGCCCAGACUCCUACGGGAGGCAGCAGGAGGGAAUCUUCCGCAAGGGACGAAAGUCUGACGGAGAAACGCCGCGUGAGUGAAGAAGGUUUUCGGAUCGUAAAACUCUGUUGUUAGAGAAGAACAAGGAUGAGAGUAACUGCUCGUCCCUUGACGGUAUCUAACCAGAAAGCCAUGGCUAACUACGUGCCAUCAGCCGCGGUAA